rnacentral:misc_RNA from 1 species
GAUGGAGAACGCAGCGAAAUGCGAUACUUGGUGUGAAUUGCAGAAUCCCGUGAACCAUCGAGUCUUUGAACGCAAGUUGCGCCCGAAGCCGUCAGGCCGAGGGCACGCCUGCCUGGGCGUCACACGCCGUUGCCCCCCCGCGCCCCGCACCCAACUCUUUGGGAGCGACCGCGGGGCGGGCUGAUGAUGGCCUCCCGUGCGCUCCGCCGCGCGGUUGGCCCAAAUACCGAGUCCCCGGCGACGUGCGCCACGACGAUCGGUGGUUGAGAGACCUCUGUCGCAAGUCGUGCGCGCCCGUCGCGUCACGCGGGCUCGCAUAGCGCCUCGCGCCGCACCCGGUGCGGAGCUUUCAACGCGACCCCAGGUCAGGCGGGGUUACCCGCUGAAUUUAAGCAUAUCAAUAAGCGGAGGA